AGGUAGCAUAAUCAUUUGUUAUCUAAAUGAUAACUAGUAUGAAUGGUCUGACGAGAAAAUAACUUUCUAAAAAGAAAAGAUGAAAAUUUAUUUUAAAGUAAAAAAGCUUUAUAACUUUAGAAAGACGAGAAGACCCUAGAACCUGUUCUAUCUAUAUAGUUUGUUGGGGCGACAUUAUUCAAAACAAAUAACUAUUAAAACUUAUUUACUGACUGUAUCUAUCUUUAUUAAAAAAAAAAAAGGUACUCUAGGGAUAACAGCAUAAUCUUCUUCUAGAGCCCUAAUCGACAAGAAAGAUUUUGACCUCGAUGUUGAAUUGAUAUUUCUUUCUAAAGCAGAA
rnacentral:rRNA from 1 species